GAUCCUGGCUCAGGAUGAACGCUAGCUACAGGCUUAACACAUGCAAGUCGAGGGGCAGCGGGAUUGAAGCUUGCUUCAAUUGCCGGCGACCGGCGCACGGGUGAGUAACGCGUAUCCAACCUUCCGUACACUCGGGGAUAGCCUUUCGAAAGAAAGAUUAAUACCUGAUGGUAUGAUGAGAUUGCAUGAUAGCAUCAUUAAAGAUUUAUCGGUGUACGAUGGGGAUGCG
rnacentral:rRNA from 1 species